UACGUAGGGGGCAAGCGUUGUCCGGAUUUAUUGGGCGUAAAGAGCGUGUAGGCGGUCAGGUAGGUCCGUUGUGAAAACUCGAGGCUCAACCUCGAGACGCCGAUGGAAACCAUCUGACUAGAGUCCGGAAGAGGAGAGUGAAUUCCUGGUGUAGCGGUGAAAUGCGCAGAUAUCAGGAAGAACACCCGUGGCUAAGGCGGCUCUCUAGUACGGUACUGACGCUGAGAACGCGAAAAGCGUGGGGAGCGAACAUGG
rnacentral:rRNA from 1 species